GCGGGUGUAGUUCAGUGGUAGAACACCAGCUUCCCAAGCUGGAUAUGGCGGUUCGAUUCCGCUCACCCGCU
rnacentral:tRNA from 1 species